UAAAAACGCUCCCAUCACAGCCCCAACAGGCAAUGGGCCCACUCUCUCUCUCUCUCUCUCAUUUCAUUCAUCAUUCUCUUCCUCCCCCGAAGAACUUGUUGGCCUUUCAUUUAAAGCCCUCUCUCUCUCUUUCUCUCAUUCUCGGCUAUUCUUCAUCUGUCUAUUAAUUAAGUAAAUAAAACCCGGUAGCUUCAUUUUCCAAAUCCCAGUUAUUACUUACUGGCCAAACAAGGCAGAAGAAGAAGUACUGUUUUGGUUCAUACGCGCCCACACACUAACACAGUGCUCCCCUGAUCCAAGUAAUUACUUGCUCCUUUAUUUUAUUCAUAUAUGGCUGUUGAACUACACACUUCGCUUCCUUCUCACUUUCUUCCCGAUGAUGACGACCACGACGACAUCGUUUCGUCACAGCAUAGCCACAGAAACGACAUCCACCACGCCUUAGCUUUAAACCCGCUCCCCGAGGUCCCGAUGAACGACAACGACGACGAUUUCAUCUCCGAGUUAACUCACCGCAUGACUCGCUUCUUACUUCCAGAUGACGACACUUCCGAUUUCUCAUCCAUUGGCUCUCACUCCAUGGAUCUAGAAAAUUCGUCACGGGACUCAAAACAUAGUCCAGAAGAUUCAGGUUCAUCUCAGGAAGCAUCACCGCCCGCUACACCUGAAGAGCGUUGUUGGAAAAUCGACAUGAUUGGAACGUUUGAGAAGAUGAAGCCUAACGAAACAGGGAAUUUCAACAACCAGUUUCAGAACUCCAAUACUGGACUCUAUUCUUACCAAUCUCUAAUUCGGGAACAGAUUCGAGCAAUUGAAUUGUCUGGGGUUAAGCAGGAGCAUGUGGCUGUGUCUCCGAAACCAAAAUCCAACCCGCGUCGGAAAAGUCAAGCGCAAGAGGCCAAUAAAGGAAACGGACGGAGGGCACGGCCGCCACAGGUUCCACAUCAAGGUGGUGCGGGGAUGCGGGCCCUAUUUCUGGAUGGGUCCGGUUCUAGAGGUGGGACCGGCGUCUUCUUGCCUCGGGGUGGUGGAGCUACUACCCCAUCCGAAUCAACCAACAAGCAAGAGCUUGAAUUGGAAUCUUCUGUAAUCUAUAUUAUCACAUGCCAUCCUUCCGGAUCUGUUAUUUUUCCUUUUGCUAAAAUCAAGGUAAAGGUUGCUCCACUGUUCUUAUACCUGCCAGAGUAGUCCAGGCUUUGCAACUCCAUUUCGACCAAAUGGCUGCCACGUCUGGGCCCAAAGCUGGUGGCUUCCCUCCUCUCCAUGAUGUUCUAGUGAGUAACAGGGAUGGCAUGUAUUCACUUCAGAAGCCCGAGUCACGGAAAGCGCCGGCAAGUAUCCAGAAUGAUACGAUUCUGCCUCAAGAGUGGACGUAUUGAGAAAUGCACAUGCACAUGCAUUUCCCAUUACUCAUCUUUUUACACAUACAGAAUAAUAAUUAUCCUGUUUUGGCAGUUUUUUUGCCCAAACUGAAGAACAAAGAAACGAAGAUAGGUGUGAACUGUGAAGUGAAGAAGAAUAAACCAGAAAAGAAAUUCCUAUACUACACAGAUCGGAUCUAUAUAGUUAGGGAAUCUUUUCACACGCAGAGUACGACAAAUAGGGAUCGAUAUACGGAUUUAAUAAAUAUGCCUGGUUUUGUAUUUUGCUAUUUCUUAUGGGGUAUAAGUUUAAGUAGGUGUAUACUACGUACUACGUACGUACUCGUGAGUCGUGACAGAAUACGAUAAAGCAAGAAAUAAAAUCUAGCUCAAUCUCUUUGUAUGCAAAGCAAGAAGCUAGAGUGGGUCGGUUGAAUCUAAAUCUGAACAGAGGAUGUCUUUUAAAAUCCUUUGUAAUAAUUCAACUUAGUUAUGGGCUUCUGUCUUAUUUGCC